rnacentral:rRNA from 1 species
GAUGAACGCUGGCGGCGUGCCUAAUACAUGCAAGUCGAGCGAACAGACGAGGAACUUGCUCCUCUGACGUUAGCGGCGGACGGGUGAGUAACACGUGGAUAACCUACCUAUAAGACUGGGAUAACUUCGGGAAACCGGAGCUAAUACCGGAUAAUAUAUUGAACCGCAUGGUUCAAUAGUGAAAGACGGUUUUGCUGUCACUUAUAGAUGGAUCCGCGCCGCAUUAGCUAGUUGGUAAGGUAACGGCUUACCAAGGCAACGAUGCGUAGCCGACCUGAGAGGGUGAUCGGCCACACUGGAACUGAGCCACGGUCCAGACUCCUACGGGAGGCAGCAGUAGGGAAUCUUCCGCAAUGGGCGAAAGCCUGACGGAGCAACGCCGCGUGAGUGAUGAAGGUCUUCGGAUCGUAAAACUCUGUUAUUAGGGAAGAACAAAUGUGUAAGUAACUAUGCACGUCUUGACGGUACCUAAUCAGAAAGCCACGGCUAACUACGUG